rnacentral:lncRNA from 1 species
CCACCUUUACAUACACAAUCUGUUAAAUGAUGAGAGAGAGAAGCAAGAACUGAAAUAGAGACUAGUAAAAGAAUUUGAAAUAAAGGAACUGGAAAAACUUAAGUAUUUUCUCAGUAUUGAGGUGGCAUAUUCUACACAGAGGAUCUUCAUAUCUCAGCAAAAGUAUGUGAUUGAUUUAUUGACAGAAACAGAGAAGAUUGG